UGGGCGGUGGAAGGGUUUGGGGCUCAGCUGCCCCAGCCGAGGCCUUCAGUGCCCACAGCUCUGACCGUUUGCAGCUGGUAAAUGGGGACGAGGCGGCACAGGUCAUCGACACAGAGCAGCCUGGGUCCCUUGGUAAGCUGGGGCAGGAGGCUCUGGAUAUGGCUGAGUGUACGUGUUUACAUCCGGGAACAAGGCAUGGCAGCCAUGGUUACAAGCUUGGGACUUCAGUGCCCUGCCUGAUUUGAGCCAGACACGCUUGCCUGCUACAAACACAGACCCAGAUCUGAACUACGUCCCCCAAAAGCUGCAGGCUUAACUGAAAACAGCCUAAGAAGUGUUCCUGUCUCCAGCAUUCAGGUAUCUUUUGAGGGUGGAGAUGCUAUCUCUCGAGCCAGCUGAAGACAAAAAUUGAGGACACUCCCACGGCUUUAUAUAGUUUCUCUCUUGUGGGUGGAAAUUCUUCCCUCCUCCUGUGUGGAAUGCCCUCUACAAGAUGGAGUUUUGGAGUCACCUGGGCAAGUCACAUGUCCAUGCAUGACUUAGUUCUCUACAGGAACGUUCCCAGGAAAGCUCAGAUGUGGACUGGUGUCUAUCAAAGUCUGUUGUCAGCUUAAGUGUUUCUUGAUUGGGCACUUACUGAGAAUAGUCUUUUCUCAAGAAGCUGACCAAAUGCUUCACUGAGGCUACUUAAAAUCAAACAAAUUCACAGGCAAUAUUCAUAACUUUGAAUACAAGAAUGAUACAUGCAUACAAAUAGGAUGAAUAUAUUCAGUAGGCCAUAACCUUUGCAGAGAUAUGUUACAUGGCAUAUGUAGCAUUAAACAUAUUCCAGAUAUGUCAUUUUUCCAUUCAUAAGCAUAUUUCCAUAAAACCUUAUGGGGUGCAACGUCACAACUGUGUCCAGUUCUGGUGUCCACAAUUCAAAAAGCAUAUUGAUAAAUUGUAGACGGUUCAGAGAAGAACCACAAGAAUGAUUAAAGGAUUGGAAAACAUGUCUUAUAGUGAUAGAUUCAAGUAGCUCAAUAUGUGUAGCUUAACAAUAAGGUUAAGGGGUGGCUUGUUUACAGUUUGAGUACUUACACGGGGAACAAAUAUUUGCUAACAGACUUUUCAAUCUAUCACAGAAAGGUAUAACACAAUCCAAUGGCUGGAAGCUGAAGCUAGACAAAUUCAGAUGGGAAAUAAAGCUUAAUUUUUAA